GACGAACGCUGGCGGCGUGCUUAACACAUGCAAGUCGAACGGAAAGGCCCUGCUUUUGUGGGGUGCUCGAAUGGCGAACGGGUGAGUAACACGUGAGUAACCUGCCCUUGACUUUGGGAUAACUUCAUGAAACUGGGGCUAAUACCGGAUAGGAGCUCCUGCUGAAUGGGGGGGGUUGGAAAGUUUCGGCGGUUGGGGAUGGACUCGCGGCUUAUCAGCUUGUCGGUGGGGUGGUGGCUUACCAAGGCGUUGACGGGUAGCCGGCCUGAGAGGGUGACCGGCCACAUUGGGACUGAGAUACGGCGCAGACUCCUACGGGAGGCAGCAGUGGGGAAUAUUGCACAAUGGGCGGAAGCCUGAUGCAGCAACGCCGCGUGCGGGAUGACAGCCUUCGGGUUGUAAACCGCUUUCGCCUGUGACGAGGCGUGAGUGACGGUAAUGGGUAAAGAAGCACCGGCUAACUACGUG
rnacentral:rRNA from 1 species